rnacentral:rRNA from 1 species
GAUGAAUGCUGGCUGUGUAAAUAAGGCAUGCAAGUCGAACGCAUUUAGUUGCGUGGCGAACGAGGUAGUAACAGGUAGGUACCUGCCCCCCAGUCAAGGAUAACCUGGAGAAAUCCAGAAUAAUACUUGAUGGUCUAGCAAUAGUAAAGAUUUAUCGCUGGGGGAUGGGCCUGCUGAGUAUCAGCUUGUUGGUAGUGUAAUGGACUACCAAGGCUACGACGCUUAGAGGACCUGAGAGGGUGUUCCUCACCGAUGGCACUGAGACACGGGCCAUACUCCUACGGGAGGCAGCAGUCGAGAAUCUUCCGCAAUGGACGAAAGUCUGACGGAGUGACACAGCGUGGUCGAUGAAGUCCUUCGGGAUGUAAAGACCUUUUAUACAUGAAGAAGUAUAUUGACAUUAGUGUAUGAAUAAGGGGCUGCUAAUCACG